rnacentral:rRNA from 1 species
UACGUAGGUGACUAGCGUUGUCCGGAUUUACUGGGCGUAAAGAGCGCGCAGGCGGUCGUUCAAGUCGAGUGUGAAAGCCCCCGGCUCAACUGGGGAGGGUCACUUGAUACUGAUCGACUCGAAGGCAGGAGAGGGAAGCGGAAUUCCCGGUGUAGUGGUGAAAUGCGUAGAUAUCGGGAGGAACACCAGUGGCGAAGGCGGCUUCCUGGCCUGUUCUUGACGCUGAGGCGCGAAAGCGUGGGGAGCAAACGGG